CUUUCUAUAGUUAAUUAGCAAUAAUUAAAUAGAAGAGGUCAGGCUUCUUGGCAUAAUCUGAAAUAUCCAUGCACUUCAGAUGUCUUCAGACUAAAUAGUUGUUAACCAGCAAGAGCAGAAAUUACUUACUGGGAGUCCCCAAAGGGCUGUGUCCCAGGGGUCCUUAAAUCACUUUCUCAAUGCUGGUAACCGUGUGGCAGCUCACUGGUGUCCCCUAGUUCCCUGCCCAAGAGACUGAAGAAUCCUCACUGGUGUCACCAGCCAGUGUGAGCCACCCGGUGCCCGCAACAGUGGUGCUGCUUUCUCAGGGUCCUGGGGUACUUCCUAUUAUUGGGCCAGAGUGGCACCUGCUUCCAUGCAAAAGUGGGGACUGGGGCCUCCUGCUGUCAUCCUUUGUCAUCCAGGUCUGGAAGCUGCCCUACAAUGUUUGUUCAAUAAGCAGAGCAUCUACUCUACCCUGUGCCAGGCCUGCCAGGUCAAUGAAACAGAGUUCUUGUCUCCUUGAAGCUCCCAGUCUUAAGAGGAGAGGAAGACCCCGGUGUAAGAAAAAUCACAAAUUGUGAGAAGUGCCCUGAAGAAAAAAGUGCUCUUUUGGGCUCCACAGAAAGUCAUACACAGGGGUCCUCAUUUAGACACAGGAGCAGAGUAAGCCCCUCUGAGGAAGAAACGUGAGUGACAUGUCCGAUUCAGCCCCUCUGCGCAGGGCAGGGAGGCACAGCUUGUGCGGAGACAGCAAACUCCGUGAAAGAUGACCAGUGUGACCAGAUCAGGCCAAUGAGGAGAGGGUGUCCUGACAUAAGGCCAAGCAGGAGGCAGAGGCCAGACACUGCAGGGUCUUGUAAAUAGCCCUUCACCAAAAUGCCUUGUUAAAACCAAAUCCUAGCGAUUCCUCAUGAAUUGAGUCACGAGGGAGGUGAAGUCUAAAACUUGGCACCUUGCCUGCCCUUUUCCUAUCAAAGAGGACAAAGGGAUGCUUUCCUCUAGCCUCAUUCAUUUGGCAGGGAGUCUAUUAGCCAUAGUUUACAUGGCCUCGGAUCUCUCUGCUGCCUGGACUUGAUUUCCAUUUGACCCAGGUGUCUGGGAACCCCAGGAAGAAAGGACAGUAGCCCUGGAGGACUUGGGAAAUAAAAGCUGAAACGAUGUUUCAACAUUCUGUGUCCAUUUAAGUUUGAGGGCAUUGAAAAGUGACUUGUAACUUACUGUUUGGGGAUCAGGAGAACUCCAGAGAUGCCUUCAGGUAAUUCCGAAUCCAAUUAUUCUACCAAAGGGAAGUCAGGAGUUCUAGAAAAGGAAGAAACUUGGGCAUUGAUUGCAGAUAUUUGCCUUCAUGUAUAUUCCCAUGGAGAAUGAAGUAUAUUUUCCAUUUUGUAAUAGUGCCUUAAUCUCACACAAAUUAUGGUGUGGGCUAAGGUAGCAUUAUAUAUAUACAGUAGAACUAUUAUCAUUAUAGUAGAGUACAGAAGACAUAAAAUAUUCAUGUUCUUUGGGUUAAAGCAAACUUGCCAUUUUAAGUCCAUUAAUUGCAGUUGAAUUUAGCAAAUUUUCUUUCAGGGACUGAUACUCUAAUUACCUAAAUUAAAGUAGGCAUUCCAGUUAGCCUUAUGUUCCGAAUGCAGGCAUAGUAGAAUAAGCUCUUGUUUAGCUAACCUUUGUCUCCGUGAACUGGAUGUGGAGCUGAGACCGUGUUUUCUCCCAGUGUGAUUUCUAGAGUGAUUAUAAACCAGCAAAGCUAUCUGAUCAUGCUAGUCAUUCCUGUUUUUACCCUCUCUUUAUGGGCUUUAUUCUCAAUGCAGUAUUUUCUAGGAAAUAAAGCUUUCCAAAUUUCUGGAGUAGGGGAGUAGAGACAAUAAAAACACUGAACGGCAUAGAAAUUACUAUACAGAGCCCUGUCUAGGCUCCAUUAUCACACAGCCUCCAUUAACUGACAUCUCUGGUAAUUAUUUAAAUAACUGAUUGCAGAUUGAUUGGUUAUUGUUUCUAGGGAGGCCUCGUGGCUUUCCACAUUGUUUACUGAUAUUUAUGGUUUAAUGGAGCAAACAUCCCCAUCUUGUUUCAUAGACUCUCACUAUUGGAGACACGCAGAGACAAUGCGAUGUAGGCAGAGAGCCCCGGCUUUCAAAAUAGAGGCAGGUUCAGAUCUCAGCUCCAGAUGGGACUUAGGGAAGUUAACUUCAUCUCCCUAGCCUCAAUGUCUUCUUACCCACAGAGGGACUCACUUAAUCCGUAGAACUGUCAGGAGUCUUCAUUCGAUCCCAUGGAAAGGUUAGCGUGCUAGCAGGCGGAAAAUGGUGGUCCUUUCCUCUUCUGGUUUGAGCUCCAUUCAUCUGCCCCCGCCCAUCAGCUGUAAGACGUCUUUAGUGAGAUACCAGCUAGAGGCUUUAAGGCAGCCCUGUGUGUUCCGCCGGUAAAGUGAGACUGCACCAGUUGGCCGGGAGUGGAGGUGGAAACCCCACGAGGGCAAGAAUGGUUGCAGCACUGCAGUCUCCUGGAGUCCAUGAGGUCGCCCAGAUGUACCUCUCCUGCCUUGGAGCCAGCCACAGGAGUUUCCGCUCUGGCCUAAACAGUGCAAGGCAGAGUGUGGGAGCCACACCAUGAAAACGGACACUCAGGAAGAGGCAACUGGAUAGUGGGCCCUACCGAACAGUUUACUUGCAGUUAGCCUGGAGGUGACUCUUAGUUUUCUGCCUGUUUCCCUGUGACUGAAGUUGCCCUGUCCUCCUGCAGGGGAGACAUCACAUACAUGUGUACUGCUUGGCCCAGGAAGAGGGAUCAGGAGAGAAAGGUGAAUCCCCUGCCCUAGGAGGCCUGCGUUUCGAGCUCUGCUUCCAUAGCCUAUGAUUGAGUGCUUUCUCUCUCUGCUUUUGAGCUCCAGUUCCUUCCCCAAGUCCCACCUCUUUCACUGAUACUUGGCAACAGGAAUGCCCAUCAGUCAGGGGGAGUUUAUACCCUUAUCCCAGGGGAGCGCAUGCUUCUUUUCCCGAGGGAGUAGAGCCAUGCUCCUUGGUCUUGAUGGAACAACUCAAACAGAAAACAUUGCAAUAAGCCUGAUAUUUCUACAAAGGGAUGGCCGAUUCUGUGAACUCGACCUCCUGAAUUCAGUAACGCUCUCAGGUCCCUCUCUUAAAUGCACUGGUGGCACCCUAGGCAUCCUCUGCUUGCCACGAGGAGAUAGAGAUAAUACUCUAGGAUUCCCCUUCCCUAGCUCCAUGUCUGCUCCCGCCAGGUAAACUCUGUCUUCACAAGAGUCUUACACUUGUUUUCAUAGGUUUUCUUCUUAUUAAAAUUAUAUCACUUACAUCACUGCUAAGAUAGGAGUUCAAAAAGUGAGUUGCCGACCAGAGCAAAAAUUGAGUUGCCCUGAUUGCUAUUUUUAGGCGUAAGAAUGAUUUGGCCCCCCCCAGUCGUCAGAGUCCCAGCUGUCUGUCGCCUUCUUCCCCCUGCCAUCCUUCUAAUACUUUCUGAUGAUGGCAAUAACAACAACACGACUUUCUGAUAAUUAUCUGGACCGUGUCUGGCAUUAAGGGCAAUGUUCUUAAAGUACACAUUUAAGAUCUUCUCUGUUUUCCCCAUCCCAAAAAAGACUGGAAUUUCUAAUAACACAGUU